rnacentral:rRNA from 2 species
UACGGAGGGUGCAAGCGUUGUCCGGAUUUAUUGGGUUUAAAGGGUGCGUAGGCGGGGUCUUAAGUCAGUGGUGAAAGCCGGCAGCUCAACUGUCGAAUUGCCAUUGAUACUGGGGUCCUUGAAUUCAGUUGAGGUAUGCGGAAUUGAUGGUGUAGCGGUGAAAUGCAUAGAUACCAUCAGGAACACCGAUUGCGAAGGCAGCAUACUGGGCUUGAAUUGACGCUGAGGCACGAAAGUGUGGGGAUCGAACAGG